CCUACGGGAGGCUGCAGUGGGGAAUAUUGGACAAUGGGGGGAACCCUGAUCCAGCCAUGCCGCGUGUGUGAAGAAGGCCCUCGGGUUGUAAAGCACUUUCAGUGAGGAAGAACGCCUGGUGGUUAAUACCCAUCAGGAAAGACAUCACUCACAGAAGAAGCACCGGCUAACUCCGUGCCAGCAGCCGCGGUAAUACGGAGGGUGCGAGCGUUAAUCGGAAUUACUGGGCGUAAAGCGCGCGUAGGUGGCUUGAUAAGCCGGUUGUGAAAGCCCCGGGCUCAACCUGGGAACGGCAUCCGGAACUGUCAAGCUAGAGUGCAGGAGAGGAAGGUAGAAUUCCCAGUGUAGCGGUGAAAUGCGUAGAGAUCGGGAGGAAUACCAGUGGCGAAGGCGGCCUUCUGGACUGACACUGACACUGAGGUGCGAAAGCGUGGGUAGCAAACAGGAUUAGAUACCCCUGUAGUC
rnacentral:rRNA from 1 species